rnacentral:lncRNA from 1 species
CAGCUGCAUGGCCCUUGGCCCAACAACCAUCCACUCUAACAAACCCCAUACGUCGAAGGGAGUGAUCAUUGUAGGUGUCAGUGUUUAACAAUCUACAAACAACCUCUUCCUCAAAACUCACUUCAGACUUCCUAAAAAUCAUAGUAAGAGCCAUACCAUAUGGCAAGGGAGCCUUGGAUCUAUUCAAGGCCUCCCUCCUGGCAUCGAUCAUCAAAAAUGGUAGAUUUAAGGGAGUUUUAGAGACUACAUG